UUCACUUUUUCACACUUUCUUAAUACUUUUUACCAAAUAUUUGUUUUCAAUUAUGAAAGAAAAAUAACUCUAAAUAAUUAGAAACUCUUUCAUAACAAUUCUUGUUUCAGAUCUUGAAUCCUCUUCUAGUGAAAUCAUCAGAAAACGAAUAGACCACAUACUACAAACCAAACACCAGGACAACAAAUUAGUAUCCAUUCCUUCUAUCAUGAAUAUUCAGUCAAGUUUCCCAUUGUUAAACCACUUGCAUAAUCCCCAUCGUGCUUUUUCUUACAUAUACCUAUGGAUACAAGUUGUUGGCUCCGUCAAAACUGCUCUGUGCUAGUUCUCCUCAUUCUCUCGUUCGCUCCACCAAGCAUCCUUUACCUAUGCCUUUUGGAAAUGAAAGCUUUGAUUGUAAUGUCUAAAAUUCUAUUGCAUGCAAAUGAUAUGCAUAAAUGUGAUUAAUUAAGGAAAAUUCUAUGAGGUCUUUCUUUUCGGUGAGCUGUGAUAAGUUUCCUGAAAAGGAAAGAAAUUUCCCUUAAUGUUGAGUAAAUAUAAUUGUAUUUCCUAGAAUGAGGUGCACUUUAUUUUGUUUUGGGGUAAAUUUAUAGCAAAUUUAUUUGCAUAUUUUACUAGUAGUAUCUAUAUUCUUGAAUAAUUUUUUUAUACUUAGCCAUAUUCUUGAAUAUAAUUUAAGUAUGAUUUUUUAUUUUAUUUUUUAAAAAAACAAAAACAAAACUAUAGCACCAACCAAACAAAAUACAGAAAGACCAAACCAAAGGAAAAGUUAGACAGAAACAACUCUAAAGUAUGAUUUUUUAGACAGAAAGACCAAACCAAAGGAAAAGUUAGACAGAAACAACUCUAAAACAAGGCAAACCCAUGCAUUCUAUGUACAAAAAGGGCCUAAUGAAUAAAGGAGUAAUAACAUUCCAACUAGUCUUGUGUCAAAGUCAUAGAUAAGUUGUGACCAUUAAUAUAAUUACCUUCUCUAUAUAUGUUAAGCUCUUUAGCCCUCACCAUGCAGUUUCCCUAGUGGCUUCUAAUCCACCAAGGAAUUCAAAUGUAGUUGUUAAAGGCCCUGAAGCCCUCAACAACAACUUGGGAGUCAAUUUUCAACCACAAGUUUCUCCAAUUCGUUGCUUGAGCUUCAUUAAUAGCAUACAAAGCAGCAUGGAAUUCAGCCACAAGUUUCUCCAAUUGGUAAAAUGAAUACAUGUUACUAAUACCAUCUAAAUUUCUUUUAAUUGUAACUCGUCAUCUAAGAAGCAUAUGAUUUACUAGAUGACUUUAAUCCUUUCUUGAUUAAAGAAUUCAAUACAUAUGAAAAUUAUACACAAGUGUAAAAUAGUUAACAUUAAUGCGCAUUGGAGCUUGGUGAUCAAGUGGUGGUUGAUUUUACUUUGUCCAAUCUCUACUCUUAAUGCAUUAACUACCAUGACGAUGCGUAACUAAAAUCUAUUUAUUUUUUUG
rnacentral:lncRNA from 1 species